GGUAGUGGAGUCACAGGGCUGACGGUGCCUUUAUUGGUGCUGAGGAAAGUCCGCCCUCUAUUCAAAAGGCAGCUGUUCGAAAGUCAGAUGGAGAAAUCCAUGGCAACCACUCAGAAACGACACGGCCCUAUCAUAGGAUGACGCGCGCGAAGUCUUAGGUGACUAAGAUGAGAUAACCCGCAGACGUUUUUUAGGGAUACGAUGAAACGGUGAGCCCCUGCUUGAGCAAGGCCAUUAUGGCCGCUUAGUCGAAUGUCCUGAAGAUCUGCCCGCGUAACUGACGGAGAUCCACAGAAGGUGGCUUAUGGCUCCCUACC
rnacentral:RNase_P_RNA from 2 species